CUUGUACUCCCUCCGUCCGAAAAUACUUGUCACUGAAAUGGAUGUAUCUAGAUGUAUUUUAGUUCUAGACACAUCCAUUUUGAUGACAGGUAAUUCCGGACGGAGGGAGUACUUG
rnacentral:pre_miRNA from 1 species